GUGUAAAUCCUAGCUCACUCCAACCAGUCCCCCAUUCUCCUCCCCAACUCCCUUGCGGCUGCGCUGCCGCCGUCACUUCUUCUCCAGUUCGCCCCUCACCUCUCCCCUAGUCAUCCCAAUCCACUGUGUCGGUGAGGAACUGAGAGAGUGAGAGAUUCGGUGUCCAUGGAGGCUACGGGAUCCACCAUUGGCAGCCGGUGAAUCCCUUCUUCCUCCUCCUGUCCUCGAGCUCAGCGUUUUUCUACUGACCUCGACGUCCCUCAUCAAGGGACGACGACCGGCCGCCGCCGGAUCCAACGAAGACAAGCAAGGCCGUUGUCGUCGCUGCUGCCGGAUCCAAUCUUCAAGUCGAUGCUCCACCUCCUCCUGAGAAGAAGAAGCCACCACCACCAGAGAAGAAGAAGGCUCCACGACCAUCGUCCACCAAAGCUAAUCGUGGCCGGUGACCCGAAGCGACUUCCUCGACCCCGACCAACUGCGGCCAAGGGCGUUGAUCCAAAGCACCGGCGCUUGCACUCUAAGGAAGCUGAAGCUCUCUCCAAGAAGUCCAGCCGCAGUAUUCUUCACUCUCUCGGUGGACAUACAUACAAAGGACUUUGAUAUUUUAGAUUGGUGGAAAGUGGCAGGAACGCUCUAUCCUACUUUGAGAUUGAUAGCAAGGGAUAUUUUUGCAAUUCCUAUAACCACAGUUGCUUCAGAAUCUGCAUUUACCACUAGUGGGCGAGUUCUUAGUGAGCAUCGCAGCAGGCUGACUUCUCCAAUGCUGGAGGCUCUAAUGUGCUCACAGGAUUGGAUUAGAAACAAGUAUAAAGGCCUUGUUACUGAUGAAGGACAACCUAGCAGCUUUUGGUCUGCUCUUCAAGAAGUCCAAGAAGGCCUUCAGGAUCUUGCAAUUUAACUCCAGUAGGAGCACAGCAGAUUCCUCCCUGACCAUAUGUUCAGAUCCUUGAAACCAACUGUCAAGAUGGCGUGCUGUCCAAGUAAAUGUGAUCACAUUGUUCGACCAGCAUUAACAGUUUAACACUAACUAUUUAUGUAAGCUUUGGUUGUAACGAAUGAUGUGUGAUAACACUACUACUAUCUUGCUUUUGCUGCUGCUGCCAUGAACUUGAUACUAAGUUGAAUUGUUGUUGGUCAGUGGAUGACUAGAACUCUAGAACUGCUGUUAUCUAAUGUAAUGUCUGUGUGGUGAACCGGAAGUCUCGAACUGGUGAAUGGACUAAUGGAAUGAUGGUGAUUGGUGAA